UACGUAGGGGGCAAGCGUUGUCCGGAAUCAUUGGGCGUAAAGAGCGUGUAGGCGGUCCGAUAAGUCCGCUCUGAAAGCCCGGGGCUCAACCCCGGGAGGCGGGCGGAUACUGUCGGGCUAGAGUCCGGAAGAGGCAAGUGGAAUUCCUGGUGUAGCGGUGAAAUGCGCAGAUAUCAGGAAGAACACCCGUGGCGAAGGCGGUUCUCUGGGACGGUACUGACGCUGAGACGCGAAAGCGUGGGGAGCGAACAGG
rnacentral:rRNA from 1 species